AAUAUGCGAUGAUAAUAUAUGUACCUAUAUGUAUACCUAUGUAACACGUGAUUAUUCGAGAAUUUGUUAUUUGAUGCAGUUAUGGCAUAUAACCUGUUAAAACGUUCGUUGAAAAAUGUACGAAACGGUACGCAUGACUUUCCCAUUUUCUCUUUCUGUUCGAAACGCAUCCACUUCGUCCAACGUUAUAUCAGUCGAUAAUGUGCACCGCACAGUUUCUAAGGAAAAAUAUUUUCCCGAGUUGGUCUUGAUUUACGAGAGAAGUCGAGUCGAGGUGCGGAACCGUUAUGCCCUUUGGUAUUUGUUGAAAUAAAUUGCGUUUUACUGCACCCCAAAAUUUCGCAACAUUGCGGCUAAGUAGGAGAGCCCAUCGCAUCGCGUUUCGCUGCAGGUAUAAAGUAUUCCAAACGUACAGAUCUUUUGAUUUACGAAGUCAAUGACCCACAGUGUCCUGGCACAUUAUGUACUUGCAAAAUAACUACAUCUCUGACAAAAGUUCAAUGAAAUUUCAGGUAACCAAGUCUUCGAUAUGAUUUAUGGAUAGCCCAAAACUCGGGUGUACCUAUUCAGUCAACGUCGGGCUCUAACACCUCAUACUUACCUCAAACGACUGAUCACCGAGACCGACGAUUCCUCAGGAUUUUUCGAAUUUUCACCCCGUUUAACAUUAACUCCAGGAUAUCUCGACCAACCGUUCGUCACCUUGCAGUUCGAUACGAUUGUUCUCAACUUUUUUUUCCUACAUUUCAUCUAUGUUAUAGAUAUAAUUUUUGAUCGAAUAUGCGGUACCUUUAGGAUCGCUUCAUAAAUCCGUUUGAUGUGUAAUAUCUACAUACGAUUGAUUCCAUCGUUCUCGCAUACCUCGUUCGUCCUUCGAUUGUCCAAGCGCAUAAUAACCUGCGUCAUGAACCCGCCUUUGUGUCGACACAAUCGCAAAAUUUAUCCAACGACAAAUUCUAAGCAGUACAUAUAUACAAACGUGUGUGCGUAUGUGUCUGUAAAAUAUUUUCAUAUAUUAUACGAUCGUUUCUACAAUCUAUACCAUAAUACACCCAGAGGCUAUAGCUGGCUUACGGCGGACACAUCGGGUCUGAUAAUUAAUUCAAGGACUUUUUUAUCGGCUAUUCAUCUAUUAUUGAACGAAUUAUAUGUAUUAUGGCACGUCUUUGAAAAGAACAUCGCCAUAGAGAAGCUUGCGGAAGACGUUAAAAAUGAGAUGGAUGAAGAAAAAAGAAAACAUCGAUAAGACGUAGAUGAAGAUACCGAAUAUAAAAAAUCAGAAAAUCUGUACUUGGAAUGAUUACAGCUGUAACGUCGACGUACAUCGUGAUACGGGAAUUGCAUAUUAUAUUAGAGAUGAAAACCUUGAACAAAUAGAUGCACAUAAUGUACAGUACAUAGGAAAUAGCAAACGUCGACGACAAUCGUAGAUUUAAUAGUUUAAGUUCAGAGAGGCGAAUAGAGCUUUGCCGGGGUCGCUCUCUGAGUGUUGUAAAUGACGUCAGUGGCGGAUGGCGAGAUGAAGUUCAAGGUCCUUGCGUGGAUGUAUGGCGCAUCGCCCACGCCUCGUCAGUGGAAAAUAGAAACCGGGGAAUCGGUUUUACUGACAACACGCGGUAGAUCUCAAACAACGUCACCUGAUGUUGGACCGAUUCCACCAGUUGAUAUCUAGAUGACUUUGAUUCGCAUUAUUUUUUGACUCGAUAAAUCGCAUCCAAAAUGAUCAAACCCCUCGUCUGAAAUGGAACGCUUUUCCGAGGAGUAACACGUACGUGUUGGGGUAGGAUCAAAUCGAAUUUCAUCAACAAAUAUUUCACGGAGCAAUCGUCACUAAUACUGAUAAAAUAAUCAGUUGUUCUAUUCCCUUGUGCCCCUGGAUACGACUUAACAUUGUACGUACGUAUAGGUAUACGUUAGUCACAAUUUGUUUGUUUUAUUACUUAUUCUUUUUGCUCUGUAUUGCUGGUGCCACUGGUGCAUCGAUACGAUGCAAUAUACGAAGCGUCGCCGCGUGCAACGGACUUUAAACGGCGAACGCCUGCCCCGCUUCGACCGCGAUGACCUUGGCCUUGACAUCGACCGCAGCGUCCCGACGCUACGCAGUUGCAUCAUCAUCACACUUGUUAGAUGAGCUGGCAACACAGCGACUGACAGGUGGGCGGAAUGUGGAAAAAUAUUCCAGGGGUGGAGGGAGGGUCCACGACCUUGUAGUGACCCUUCACACCUGCUGGCCUUAUCGCUCGCUUCUGCAUAGAAUGUUUUUUGGCAACAACAUACGUCACCUCCUUCCUCGGCUCCUUGUGUGCUUUCCUGUACAAUCUGGAACCGCCAAAUUGGAGUCUGCUUCAGAACCCACACCAAAGGAUGGUAAUCUUUAGACCGGAAUACUUUGGUAAUGAACCAUCCCCCAGGCCUGAGAAAUUGUGUGGCAAGUUUGAGAGCUGAAAGAGUGAGGCACGCCUGUUGAUAGGCAUCAUGG